AUUGAACGCUGGCGGCAGGCCUAACACAUGCAAGUCGAACGAGUGGCGGACGGGUGAGUAAUGUCUGGGAAACUGCCUGAUGGAGGGGGAUAACUACUGGAAAAGGUAGCUAAUACCGCAUACCAUCAGAUGUGCCCCGAUGGGAUUAGCUAGUUGGUGGGGUAACGGCUCACCAAGGCGACGAUCCCUAGCUGGGCUGCGAGGAUGACCAGCCACACUGGAACUGAGACACUGGCCAGACUCCGACGGGAGGCAGCAGUGGGUAAUAUUGCACAAUGGGCGCAAGCCUGAUGCAGCCAUGCCGCGUGUAUGAAGAAGGCCUUCGGGUUGUAAAGUACUUUCAGCGGGGAGGCGUUAUCCGCAGAAGAAGCACCGGCUAACUCCGUGCCAGCCGCCGCGGUAAUUC
rnacentral:rRNA from 1 species